rnacentral:lncRNA from 1 species
CCCAGGCACAAAGAAAGUGGAACUGUUGGCUGAAACAUCAAUGCAGGCCAUAGAGCCCAUCCAGGUACCUCCCAGGAGGAAAUGACCAUGGAAACAAAAGGGGUUUUUGCUGUUUUCUUGGUUCCUGUCAGCAGCUUCUGGCACGUGCCAUGCUGGAGGGGGAAAAGAAAAAGGAAAACUAAAGUGGAGUUUCUCGUUUAGCCGGUCUCCAAGCAAGGCAGGGGACUCAGAACCGGGCAGCUGAUGGGAUGUGAGGUUUGGGAUCCCCAGUGAAAC